GGGAGAAGCGACCCUUCCGCGAAGCGAGAUAGGCUUGGCCGGAGAUGGACUCCCUCGGGAAGAACUCCACUUCCUGUGUCUUGAGCUGCUGUGCAGUUUGCUUCAGCAUCCAUGCAUGCUUGGCUGGAGAAUUCUGAGAGUUGAAAUCCACAGGACUUAAAAUUGUCAAGAACUGGGGUGGAUGUGGCCUGCGCAUGAUGCAUCCGGCCCGGGGGCCAUCAGUUUCACAGUCAUGGUUGAAGAGGGACCCUGUCAUAUCUUAUAGGGAAAAAGGGAGAGCAAGAAGAUGGCCAUUCUGAGAUCUCUUCUGGGCAAGAGAACUCCAUCCAAUGAAGGAGUGAUAUUGGAACCAUGGUGGAGAGUGCUCCAAGGACUGUUGGUGGGUUCCAAACUGCCCCAAGACAAUGAGAAGAAAAGUUGUGCUUUUCUGAGGAAACAGGAGAGUUGAAAUGGACUUUUGAGAAGAAUGUACUUGGUAAUGAUAAGGACUCCUCCUCCAGGUAAAAAGAUGGCUUACCUGAACAGAGUUCCUAGAGGGAGAGACCAAGUAGAACCAGGUGAGAGUGGGACUUGGUGGAGCUCAAUUGGGGAUUUUGGGGAAAGAUGUCAGGUAAUCUGGAAGGAGUUUGAGCCUAUUGAGCCUGAGAAUGUAGGCAGAGUUCUUAUUGCUGUUUUCCUUUUGACAGCAUAACACCCACUUCAAAAUGGAUCUAAUGAAGCUAGGAUUUCAAUAAACAAUCUUAAGCCACA